UGAGGAAUAUUGCACAAUGGGCGAAAGCCUGAUGCAGCAACGCCGCGUGGGGGAUGAAGGCCUUCGGGUCGUAAACCCCUUUUCUGAGGGAAGAGAAAGGACGGUACCUCAGGAAUAAGUCUCGGCUAACUACGUGCCCAGCAGCCGCGGUAAAACGUAGGAGGCGAGCGUUAUCCGGAUUUACUGGGCGUAAAGCGCGCGCAGGCGGCAUUGUAAGUCCGACGUGAAAGCUCCCGGCUCAACUGGGAGAGGCCGUUGGAUACUGCGAAGCUUGAGGUUGGGAGAGGGAAGCGGAAUUCCCGGUGUAGUGGUGGAAUGCGUAGAUAUCGGGAGGAACACCAGUGGCGAAGGCGGCUUCCUGGCCUACACCUGACGCUGAGGCGCGAAGCGUGGGGAGCGAACA
rnacentral:rRNA from 1 species